GACGUAGGGCGCGAGCGUUGUCCGGAUUUAUUGGGCGUAAAGAGCUCGUAGGCGGCUUGUCGCGUCGACUGUGAAAACCCGCGGCUCAACUGCGGGCCUGCAGCCGAUACGGGCAGGCUAGAGUUCGGUAGGGGAGACUGGAAUUCCUGGUGUAGCGGUGAAAUGCGCAGAUAUCGGGAAGAACACCCGUGGCGAAGGCGGCUCUCUGGGACGGUACUGACGCUGAGACGCGAAAGCGUGGGGAGCGAACAGG
rnacentral:rRNA from 1 species